CAGCAGCCACGGUAAUACGUAGGUGGCAAGCGUUGUCCGGAAUUAUUGGGCGUAAAGGGCUCGCAGGCGGUUUCUUAAGUCUGAUGUGAAAGCCCCCGGCUCAACCGGGGAGGGUCAUUGGAAACUGGGAAACUUGAGUGCAGAAGAGGAGAGUGGAAUUCCACGUGUAGCGGUGAAAUGCGUAGAGAUGUGGAGGAACACCAGUGGCGAAAGCGACUCUCUGGUCUGUAACUGACGCUGAGGAACGAAAGCGUGGGGAGCGAACAGGAUUAGAUACCCCCGUAGUCCCUGUCUCUUAUAA
rnacentral:rRNA from 1 species